rnacentral:rRNA from 1 species
AUGGAGGCGUUCGAGUCGCGAGUGAUGAAGAAGAUGGAAGUCCUGGCAGGUUUGGGGGACAAAAUCAACCGGAUAGAUGAGCUCUUCACCAGGAUUGAUGAGUUGGAUCAGAAGUUCAACACUCAGGUGGAACGCAUCGAUGUGAUUCAGAGUAACGUGAACCUGACAAUGAAGUCAAUUGGCGAGGUGCGACAGGAACAAGUGGCGGCCGCGAAGGAUCAGAUGUCCAAGCAUUCGCCGUCCGGAUCAUCACCCUCAACCAAUGACAGCAUAAUGGGUACUCCUCCUAUCGUAAAUUCCCUGAACAAAACACAUCCACUUAACCCUCCUGCACCUACGGAGCAACAACGUCAGCAAUCAAAUUUGGAGAAGCAAAAAGUAGCAUUUGUAGCCUCUUGUGAAGAGCAACAUCCACGUCGACCUUGGAUGCCCAAAAUGGAUUUUCCCCGUUUUGAUGGUAGUGAUGUACGCAUAUGGCUCGACGGAUGUGAAGCUUAUUUUUCCUUGUACGAGAUUCCUGAAUUCUUCAGAGUUACUUCUGCUACAUUGCACAUGUGUGGCGAUGCGGCCAAUUGGUUUCAUGCGUAUAAACUGACUCAACAGUGGCCUAAUUGGCAUGAGUUUCGCUCUGCUGUGAUGUCAGAGUUCGAUGUCAACGUGCACAGACACAAAAUGGAAGAGUUGAUGAUGCUAAAAUAG